GACGAACGCUGGCGGCGUGCUUAACACAUGCAAGUCGAACGGACAGGCCCUGCUUUUGUUUGGUGCUCGUUUGGCGAACGGGUGAGUAACACGUGAGUAACCUGCCCUUGUCUUUGUGAUAACUUCAGGGAACUGGGGCUAAUACCGGAUAGGAGCUCCUGCUCCAUGUUGUGCGUUGGAAAGUUUCGGCGGUUGGGGAUGGACUCGCGGCUUAUCAGCUUGUUUGUGAGGUAGUGGCUUACCAAGGCUUUGACGGGUAGCCGGCCUGAGAGGGUGACCGGCGACAUUGGGACUGAGAUACGGAGCAGAAUGGUACGGGAGGCAGCAGUCGGGAGUAUUGCAGAACGGGCGGAAGCCUGAUGCAGAAACGCCGCGUGCGGGAUGACGGCCUUCGGGUUGUAAACAGAUUUCGAAUGUGACGAAGCGAGAGUGACGGUAAUGGGUAAAGAAGCAACGGCUAACUACGUG
rnacentral:rRNA from 1 species